rnacentral:rRNA from 1 species
AACCUUUAGCCAAACAAGUAUUAAAGGCAACGCCUGCCCGGUGAAUAAUUAAACGGCCGCGGUACCCUAACCGUGCAAAGGUAGCGUAAUCAUUUGUCUAUUAAUUGUAGACCCGUAUGAAAGGCAAAAUGAGGGCCUAACUGUCUCUUAUAAUAAAUCAAUUAAACUGAUCUCCCAGUUAAAAAGCUGGAAUAUUAACAUAAGACCAGAAGACCCUGUGAAGCUUAAACUAAACUAUUAAACCAAAUAAUAACUCCUUUCGGUUGGGGCGACCUUGGAAAAAAAAAUAACUUCCAAACAUAAUGAGACUUAAAUCAUUAACACAAGACUGACAAGCCAAACUAGACCCAGCAUAGCUGAUUAUUGAACCAAGUUACUCCAGGGAUAACAGCGCCAUCCUCUUCAAGAGCCCAUAUCAAAAAGAGGGUUUACGACCUCGAUGUUGGAUCAGGACAUCCUAAUGGUGCAGCCGCUAUUAAGGGUUCGUUUGUUCAACGAUUAACAGUCCC